rnacentral:rRNA from 1 species
UUCCGGUUGAUCCUGCCGGACCCCACUGCUAUCGGGAUGGGACUAAGACAUGCUAGUCGUGCGCUUCCAAGCCACGGUGGAGGCGCGGCGCACAGCUCAGUAGCACGUGGCUAACCUACCCUUGGGACGGAAACAACCCCGGGAAACUGGGGCUAAUUUCCGAUAGGUGAAGACUCCUGGAAUGGAUCUUCGCCCAAAAGGCGUUUAGACCAUGCUUCUAAGCGCUGCCCAAGGAUGGGGCCGCGGCCGAUCAGGUUGUUGGUGAGGUAACGGCUCACCAAGCCUUUAACCGGUUCGGGCCGUGAGAGCGGGAGCCCGGAGAUGGGCACUGAGACAAGGGCCCAGGCCCUACGGGGCGCAGCAGUCGCGAAAACUUCGCAAUACGCGGGAGCGUGACGGGGCCAUCCCGAGUGCCGUCCGCUGAGGAUGGCUUUUCCCCAGUGUAGAUAGCUGGGGGAAUAAGGAGAGGGCAAGUCUGGUGUCAGCCGCCGCGGUAAUACCAGCUCUCCGAGUGGUGGGGAUGUUUAUUGGGCUUAAAGCAUCCGUAGCUGGCUGGGCAAGUCCCCUGUUAAAUCUAACGAUUCAAUCGUUGGAUUGCGGGGGAUACUGCUCGGCUAGGGGGCGGGAGAGGCCGACGGUAUUCCCGGGGUAGGGGUGAAAUCCUAUAAUCCCGGGAGGACCACCAGUGGCGAAGGCUGUCGGCUAAAACGCGCCCCGACGGUGAGGGAUGAAAGCUGGGGGGAGCGAACCGGAAUUUAAAUACCCGGGU